rnacentral:lncRNA from 7 species
AUAUUUUAUAUUAUCUAUUUUAACUUAUUUAAUUCAAGUUUGAAUCCCAAUUCAAAUCAGGCCUUUGAAUUUCAAAAUUUAUUUAAAAUGAACAACCAAAGAAAUUUACCAGCAUCCAAUGCAAAGUUCAUUUUAUUUAUUUAUUUAAGAAUUUAAUUUCAAAUUCAUAAUUCACACCACCUAAAAUUUAAAUAACCUUUCUAUCUUGGAAACC